AGAGUUUGAUCAUGGCUCAGAGCGAACGUUAGCGGCAGGCUUAACACAUGCAAGUCGAGCGAGAAAGUGGAGCAAUCCAUGAGUAAAGCGGCGGACGGGUGCGUAACACGUGGAUAAUCUGUCCUUUAGUGGGGGAUAACACUCCGAAAGGAGUGCUAAUACCGCAUGUCAGACCGAGGACUCGGGUCUUCGGUCGAAAAGGGGGCGCCCGCAAGGGGCUCUCGCUAGAGGUUGAGUCCGCGGCCCAUCAGCUAGUUGGUGCGGUAACGGCGCACCAAGGCUAAGACGGGUAGCUGGUCUGAGAGGACGACCAGCCACACUGGAACUGAGACACGGUCCAGACACCUACGGGUGGCAGCAGUCGAGAAUUUUUCUCAAUGGGCGCAAGCCUGAAGGAGCGACGCCGCGUGUGGGAUGAAGGGUUUCGAUCCGUAAACCACUGUCAUUUGUGAACAAUGGUUAUUAUUUAAAAGAUGAUAACUUGAUAGUAAUGAAAGAGG
rnacentral:rRNA from 1 species